AAGACUGUGACAAUGAUGAUGCUAAAACCCUUUGUGGAGCUCCAGAGGAACAGCUAAGUCAGGAUCUUGUGUGAACUUCUGCAGAGGAUGGAAUCGGCGACCAUGUUUGCCACCGGUUUCUUAAUUAAUACGAAAGCGCUGGCCUACACUAACCCUCAAGCCUGACUCCAUCUGAUUCCAGAGGACGUCUGACCAUCAGAUUCAGCCUGUGCCCCACUGGUAUGUUGGCAGUUUAUAAUACUCACAGUUCUCUCUGCUAGCUUGGCUCAGUGUAUUUUCUUAUCUGCACUACACUAUGUGUACCUGAUAAUUCUUUUCACAGUGCAUGGUGUUCGCUGAUC